rnacentral:rRNA from 1 species
GACGAACCGUGCAAACGUUGUUCGGAAUCACUGGGCAUAAAGGGCGCGUAGGCGGCUUAUCAAGUCAGGGGUGAAAUCCGGCAGCUCAACUGUCGAAGUGCCUUUGAUACUGAUGAGCUCGAGGGAGGUAGGGGUCUGUGGAACUUCUGGUGGAGCGGUGAAAUGCGUUGAUAUCAGAAGGAACGCCGGUGGCGAAAGCGACGGACUGGAUCUCUUCUGACGCUGAGGAGCGAAAGCGUGGGGAGCGAACAGG